rnacentral:lncRNA from 1 species
AUCCCCAGUCGGCGAUGGACCGUUGAAUGGCCGGUAGUUAGUCGCUGAUGGCAUCCGUCAGUCGGUCGCCCCGACCGACGAUCGGUCGGUCUAUCGGCCAGUCGGAGUCAUCCGCCGUUAGUCGGUCGGGCCGCCAGUCGGUCGGGCUGCCAGUCGGUCGGUCGGUCCGUUAGUCGGUCGGAUCCUCCGACAGUCGGUCGGUCGGUCGGUGGGUAUCCCCCC